rnacentral:rRNA from 1 species
CGGACGGGUGAGUAACGCGUGGGUAACCUGCCUCAUACAGGGGGAUAACAGUUAGAAAUGACUGCUAAUACCGCAUAAGCGCACGGGACCGCAUGGUUUUGUGUGAAAAGCCGAGACGGUAUGAGAUGGACCCGCGUCUGAUUAGCUGGUUGGUGGGGUAACGGCCCACCAAGGCGACGAUCAGUAGCCGACCUGAGAGGGUGACCGGCCACAUUGGGACUGAGACACGGCCCAA